GGCCUGCUUAUAGGGGCCUGUAAAAACAAUUACAAAGCUUAUCUAACUAUAAAAUAAUGGCAAAGCUAUAUCUAACAAGCCGGGGGCGGGGGAGAGAGUGAU